UUAAGAGGAUCAAAAGAGAGCACCGGGAUGACUCUUCAGCCAUAGUCAAGAAUCGGGUGAAAGGUUCUCUCAACGUUACUCGAGCAUUUGGAGCUGGUUUUCUCAAACAGGUAUCUUAUGUUCUGAAAAGCAAAUUGUAUUCACAUAAGCAACUUAAACUGAUUCCUUGACAUUGCUUCUAUUCAAGUAGGGAUAAUUUGCUAAUUAAUUUCUUAUAAACUGUGCAGCCUAAAUGGAACAAUGCACUACUGGAAAUGUUUAGAAUCGAUUAUGUAGGGAAUUCUCCUUACCUAAGCUGCUCACCAUCGCUUCGUUACCAUAAACUUGGUCCGAAGGACAGAUUCCUGAUUUUAUCUUCAGACGGGCUUUACCAGUACUUCACGAAUGAACAAGCUGUUGCACA
rnacentral:lncRNA from 1 species